GAGCUUGUCAGAGACAAAGCUAUCUUCUGAUUGCCUCCACUUUGCUGGCAUCCAUUUCUUACAGGUACAGAAUGAGGCUCUUUUCAAAUCCUUGGCAGCAGCCUCCUGUCUUUCUCUCCAUUUCCCAUGAAUUUCAGCUCUGAUUGAGAUUUGCAUUGUUUCAUUUUCAUAAGGUGUAUAGGAACUGCUGAGUCACAGCCUGAACUACUGAUUGAUCACCUGAGGCAAGGACUGAGUCAGCCCUGGGAGCACAGGUGAGGGCAAUUCAGCUGUGUGAUCAGAAGGGGUGGGACUCCCCGUCCUAGACCCCAUUUAAGGGCUGACUGGCACAGGGAAAGGGUCUCUUCAUGGAGUUCCUUUCUUCUGGAGUUUUCUACUGUGCACCUAGGACAUAGGAACUAGUCAUGUCUGAGGAAAGAAUUCAUGGGGAAGAGACCAGCUGGUGGCAGAAGAAUGCAACCAACACUUCCCGAACUGUCGUUGCUGCUCCUGUCUUUCAUGUGGUGGAGGGUCUGCCUUUUAUCAUAAAAAUACGCAGGUGUCUGGGAGGCAUCUUCUUUGACACUAUGGUGUGUGAAUUAAAA